ensembl:lncRNA
CACAAACUAGCUUUCAGGGGACCGCAGUGCGGAGCAGAAAAGUUACGUCUCUCUCCGCAAACCCCAAGUUUCAUUAUCCGCCAAUCGCAGGCCGGGACUUCUCAGCUGAAACGCCCACGGGCUAUGAUUGGCAUCGAAUCAGUCCUAUUGGUGCUGAGAACAUGGAAGCGGUGGGUUCAGAACUGACCAAUAGUGUGCAGGAGUCUGCUAUCGGGGCGGGAGGAAGGCACCAACGAAGUGCGUGAGGCCGCUCCGAGAAGCGAUGGCAGGAAGCUGGCCCAGCCAAUGGCUGCCGCGGGCGGGUGUCGGCGCGCGUGCGCACUUAGGGUCCCGGAGCUGCAGGCGGGAGGUUGGGGGAGGGGAGCUAGCUGGAGCGCCGCGGAGCUCCAGCCGCCGCCGCAGCUACCGCCGCAGCGAAGAGGCCAUGUUGUGUGGUGUGUGGGGCGGGGGGAGGAGGAGGAGGGAGUAAAGCCGAGCGAGGAGACUGGAGAGACACCACACACGGCACAAGAUGGCCGGAGAGGCAACAGCAACUCCAGCUGUCAGGCGGCCCGCCGCGGCCCAAGGGCUCGCCGCUGCGCUGGGAGCAGUUCCUGGGCGUCCCGGAGGGCUCCGGAAUAGCGGGGAGGUCACGGCUGAGGCGAGGCGGUCGCGUGCGAAUGCGGGAGCUCGCCGCAGAGGCGCCCGGGGAGGCCUGGCCCACGACGCCCGUGGCUCCGCUGCGGCAGCGGCGGUGCUGGUGGCGCGCGCGGCCCGGAGGCGGCUCGCGCCGUGAGCGGGAUGCUGCGGCGGGCGACCCUUCCUGGACGGGCGAGGAAGAGCAAGCCGAUGGCUCCUGCGGCCGCGCUUCGACCCGCCCUGGGUGCGGAGGGCCGAUGCCACUGGAGCACCGGGUCGGGCCACCCGGUUCCUGCUGCACACCCAACCCGGCGCCGCGCUGCGGUCCGAGCCAGCGGGGAGAGGGCGGCGGCCGCUCUGUGGAACCCCUGCUUGCUCCGGUAUCUUAGAAGAUGGUAAUGUGGUUGCCGAUGAUUCUGAAUAAAUACAGCUUUUAUCCCAGGUGUGCCAUUCUGAAGACUGAGACAAUAGAGUUUUUAAGAAUAAAAGAGAACCCUUGGGAAAUUCUGUAUUGUAUAUAUCAAAAAUAUGAAUCCUGAGGUGGAAUGAAAGGCGUGUAUACUAUAGACAUCGAAGCAUUUACACCCAGCUUGAAGAGUUUGAAAUGGACUUUACCACUGAGAAAUCAAGAUGGCAGCCCAUUAUGGGGAAUUGAGGAAAAUGGAUUAAUGCAAGAAUGCUGUGAUAUUACACAACCAACACAGGAUUCUUUUAAUAUGGAUGCCAUGAAAUGAAUGAUUCUUACCCAACACAAAUGGACAGUGGAAUUUACUUCCUAAAGACUUGUUUCGUAUCAUGUACAUUUUUGACAUCUGGAGAAGAUGCUACAUUUCUACAAAUGGUAGUUUGUAUUCCUGUAGAUUCUUGCCGUUUGCUCUGAGUGACCUUAUGGAAUGUUAACUUUAAUAAAAUUCUAAAACUUAAAAAAUUCUCAGUUUGGGCCUUUUAUAAAACUUUUUUUCACCGUGGAUGUUUUCAUUAAAUGUUUCAUUAAAGGUGAAAGAAAACCUUGAUGACAUUUUGACCUUUAUAGUUGCUUUUCAUUAAAAUAUACUGAAUAAAGCUGGUAAAAUGGAAUGGUUUUGUUUGUUUGGGAUUUAUGUGUAUUAGAAAACCUGGGUUUUCCUGUGCUUAAGUGGAAUGGUCCUUUGGUUAAAAUAGAUAUAUUCUCUCUUUCUCCCCCUCCUUCCCCUUUCUUCUUUUUCUUUUCUUUUUUCUUUUCCAGGACAGGGUUUCUCAGUGUAUCCCUGACUGUCCUGGAGUUCAGUCUGUAGACCAGCCUGGUCUGGAAUUUGCAGUGAUUUACCUGCCUCUGCCUCCUGAGUGCUAGGAUUAAAGCUGUAUACAACCACACCCAAUUUGGUGGUUUUUUUAUUAUAAGGUUUAAAUAAAUUCUUUGUUUGGGCGUUUUCAAAGUAUUUUGCAUUUUAAUCAGUGAGUAAUGGGAACCUAGUUAAUUUAUAUAAAAAGUACUUGUUGCCUGUACAGUCCAAGACAGUCUCAGAGUCUUUCAAUUUUUGUUGAGUGGUCCUUUGACCUUUGUAUAAAACCUCUUGCAAUGAAAUGCUCAUCUGAAUAUGUGAGUUAUACUGAUUUGUAUUGUCUUACAUUAGAGAGGUGUAUUUGUAAGUUCUUUGGGUAUACAUUAAAGGGCUUACUCUCACAGUAUUAAUUUACAUUUGACAAAAAUCAUUUUUUUUCUUGUUUCGGGCAGUUGGGAGUUUAAAUGAAUCAUACCAUGCUUUGGAUUGGUUACCCAUGGUUGAAAUCAAAUACCAGGUUUUCAUUUAUUGCUACUUUGGUAAGGAAUAUAAUAAAACAGUAAUGGGGAUUUGGUUGACCAAAUGAUGACUGAUGUUUUUUCAUUACAGAAAACAGAAUAAAAUAAUCUAUUAAUGUAAAAUACCUUCGAAUACACAUGUAUAGUUAAUAUAGAUGCAGUGUUUCUUUGAGUGAUGUGAGGUGGUUGGUCGUUUGAUUUUGAUGUAAAAAUAUCUGUAGAAUUGAAACUUGAUUAUGGAUUUUACGUUUACUUAGAUUUAACAUAAUUGGUUUUGGUUGUAAAACUAAAAUGGAUUACCCCAUUGAUGGAGUGACAUGGUUUUGACCAAUAGGGUUCAGUAAAGGAAUGUUUUGAGUUUUGGGCGUGUGCGUGGUUGGUUUCUUGUCUGCAUGGGAGAGAACACGUGGUUGCAUUUGUGAUUUUGUUUCUGUGGGCCUUGUGCUUCCAUCAUGAGGGAGUUUGUCUUUGACAGUUGAUGAUUGACUGGUAGAUGUGGUCUAGCAUUGUAAGUGAGCUGUGGUUAAUGAAAUGUGAGUGUCCCUAGAAUUUGAUUUGAAACAUAAGUGAAGGGUUCUUUUGGUUUUGGAGUUGAGGUUGAGUGUUUGAUUUAAUGGUGACCAAUGUUGGAAUAUAUUCUUGAAUUUGAAGUUAUUAAUUUUGCCCAAAUAUAUAUAUAAGAAGUAACUGUGUUUGAUGUAUGGCAUUUCCAAGGUUAAUAGUUUACAAAGAAUUUUGUUUCUUCUGGGGGGAAAAUGGUUGAACUAACUUUUGCUCUACUGCAUUUGAACACUAGGGAGGCGCUCUUGAGUUGCACAAGAAAUUACCCCUUCCAGUUGAAGUGGAAAAUUCCCCCUUAAUCUUUAUUUGUUUUUAGGCACUAUAAAGAAGGCAAGAGUUGAGUUUAAUUUAUGGUGUUGAAAUGUUGCUUCUAUAUACAAGCCAUUUUACCCAUGGGGGUAUUAAUAUUUUUAAAGAUUAAUACUUAAACUGAGUUUUAGAUUCUCUAAAAAUUAUCUUUAUUUCAAAAUGGCUUGAUAAAACUCUACUUCCUGUCCAGGGAGGAAGUUAUUUUAGCUCAAGGACUGAAAUAUUUAGCAGAUCUUUAGACAAAAGGAACAAAUUACAUUUCUCUCUGGCUUAAAAAGGGUGCUUGAGCCAGAGGGGGUUAAGAAGCCCUUCCCCCU